rnacentral:tRNA from 1 species
CGCGGGGUGGAGCAGCUUGGUAGCUCGUCGGGCUCAUAACCCGAAGGUCGCAGGUUCAAAUCCUGCCCCCGCCACCA